GACAUGGAGUUUGGAAUCGACUGGACUGGACCAUGUGGUCACCGUCAACCUGGUGUUGUGAUCCCUGAAGUUCAGCUGCAGCGCUCACUGACUGAACAGGAAGCUGAAAGUCUACCAGACCCCAGUGGCCCUCUGUCCGAUGUUUUGGAUGUCUAUGUCCAAACUGUGAGCUUAUUAUCAGAAAUGCUCCAGUAAAUUCCUGCCUCACAAGCUCCAUGAUGCAGAAUGUCAGGUGGAAGACUUGGGGAAGUUGCUCUCCACCACAUCAACAUCCAAGUGUCUGGGAAGCACACUCCAUCCAACCCAGAACUGCAGGAGUUUCACAAGGAAGUUUGGAGAUGCUACCAAAAACAGAACACUGCUAAGACUAAGGCUAUUGGACAGGUUUUGUUAUACUUUCUACAGAUACAGUUACCUCAUGCAGAACAGCACAAAUGAGACAAAUUUGAAACUCAGUGAUCAUUGAUCCAAAGUGUAUCUAAAUACACUUUUCCCAGUAACAUCUUCAGAGUGCACUGUUGCUAUCAGCAAAUAAUUUGACAGAAAUUGUUGAUUCAGGACAUUUUUUUUAAGUAAUGUAAUGCAAAUAUUAAUUUACCAUUCUCAAUAAAUGUGCGAAGGAAUCCUGUGAUCCUACAGGUGUCCUCCAAAGAGACAUCACUGUCCUCAUCCUCAUCCUGUGUUGGCCACUUUAUGUUGUCCAAGACCAUCUGACAGAUACAUUAUUUUUCAAUCAGUUAACACUUGUUUUUUCAAGCAGUCCAGAGUGUGUAUAUAUAGCACAAUAAAGUACAGUACAGGAAAUAUAAGAAGUUAUUAAUUCUAAUAAUUACAAUUGUUAUUUGAUCAGUAUGUGGUGGUAAGCAGUUUUGGAAGGGCCAUACUGGUGGUUUUGCAUGUGUAAGAUGACCAUGAUGAGUACUUUGCAUUCCUGUUGAGAGUUUUCAAAAUCAUAAUUUUUUUGAUUGAUUUCCUUCCUUUCAGGCAGCCGUUGUUGUUUCUAUGAAAAUUAACUCGAGACUUCAGAACAACUCUCUUUGUGCAGAGCUUGCUUAUCCAAUGAUAAAGUACAUUUGUAAGAGGGAACAAACACGGACUGAUUAUUCAUCUGCAAAAUAUUUCAGAUCUCUCCAGGUUAUUUUUGGUGUAAUAAACUGAAACCAGUGGUUGCCAGAAGGUAGAAAAUAAAACACGUUUAAGAUAGUAA